rnacentral:rRNA from 1 species
UUAUUAAUGUAAACAUCUAAGCAAAGGAAAAGAUACUAACUAGGAUUCCCUCAUUAACGGGGACUGAAGAGGGAACAGCACAGUGCCGAAUCCCAUCCAUAGGCGAGUGCAGGUAAUGUGCCAUACAGAAGACAAACUCCACUGCGUCAUUCAGGGGACUCAAGUCAUUCUGAUUGAGGCCUACCAGGUGGAUGGAGUUAUGCCGGUAGUGACACACAGCGCACCGGGAUCAGAUGUUUUCUGAGUCGUGUUGCUUGAGAAUACAGCCAAAAGCGGGUGGUAGACUAAAUCUAAGGGUAAUUAUGGGCAUGAGACCGAUAGAUAACGAGUUGAAAUUAACUUGAAGAGAGAAUUCAAGGGGAGAUGGAUCUAUCAAGAGUUAAAUGGGUGGGGUCUGUGCAGUCCACCAGGAGGAUUCAUCAUGGUGGGCAUGUAUUUCAGCUGGAACCAGUGGAUCCUCGUUUGAUACCUCCAGCUGGGCACAUCUUGCCCCAUCAGGUUGCAUUUUCUCUGUGGUGGUGUACUGCCACCAGGGUGUAGGUGGCUCUCCACCCCAGCUGAGAGUCUUACAGCCCACGGGCUGCAUUUUUGCCAUGUCUGCAGAGUGGAGGGUGAUUGAGCACUGGUGCGCUCUUCUCAAGGAAACUGUCUCGGCAUCUUUUGGGGUUCUCUGGGGAAGCAACGGGGGACAGGCUCCACUUUUACUGUUGCAUCUGUCGAUUGGGGUGGUCUGUCCUCAAUGUGCCCCACCAGGGAUUGGAGGCCCAUGAAGGCUGGCAGGGGUAUGCAGUGAUGUUGGUUACCCACCCAAACCAUCUGUAAACACGGACCAAGGAGUCUAUCAUGUACGCCAGCCAGAGAGCCCAAUAAAAUGCUGUGGCACAAUGAAGGUGAGGGCCAGCGCACAGCAGCUGAGGUGGGAUCCUGUCAGGCUAUUAUUGCGCACACACCACUGGCACCUCUCACCCACUCUGUCACCAAGCUGGAGUAUGAGCAUGUGUAAUAGGCCUGCAAGAUGGUGAACUAUGCCUGGGCACGGCAAAGCUAGAUCGAACUCUUGUGGAGAUGUGUAGCGGUCUUGGCAUGCAAAUUGGUCAUCCCACCUGACUAUUGGGGGGAAAGACUAAUCGAACCAUCUAAUAGGUGGUUCCCUCCGAAGUUUCACUCAGGAUAGCUGGCAUUUGGAUACCACAGUUAUAUGUGGUAAAGCAAAUUAUUGGAGGUCUUGGGGCCAAAACAAUCUCAACCUAGUCUCAAACUUCAAGGGCUAGUUGAUUGGAAAAGGAGCCUAGCUCACUGGCAUGGAGCAGGCAUUGUAUGCCAGUGCCUAGUGUGCGACUGGUCCGGCAGGAUGAACCAAACACCAGGUUAAGGCACACAUUGCUGAUGCUCAUCGGACCCUAGAAAAUGUGUUGGUUGAUAUAGACAGCAGAACAGUAGCCAUGGAAUGCAGAAUCUGCUAACGAGUGUGUAACAACUCAUCUGCCAAAUCAACUAGUCCUUGCAAUGAAUUGCGCUGGAGUAGUGGGCCCAUACCUGGCUGUCACCGGUGGUGAGUGCUGUGCGUGCUAAGCCACAACAAGUAGGUGGGGUGCUUCGAUACACAUUGUAGAACAGGGUGAAGCCACUGCAGGUGCAGAUAUUGAUAGUAGCAGCUAAUAUUCUGAAAAGAACUUUGAAGGCUGAAGUGGAGAAGGGUAACAUGUGAACAGCUGUUGAACAUGGGUCAGUCAUUCUUAAGAGAUGAGCGAGCUCUGUUCGGAAGGGACAGGCAAUGGCCUAUGUUAUGCUCAGCCGAUCGAAAGGGAGCUGUGUUCAUAUCUCCGUCCCCUGAGUGGUGGAGAUGUGCACCCUCUCGGCAUGCAUUGCAGUAAUGCAAAUAUUCUGGAAAAUCUGGCAGGUGCCCCGAGAAAAUGUCUAUUUUCUUUGUGAAGGGCAGGGCACCCUGGAAUGAAUUUGCCCUGAGAGAGGCUCUCAAGCUCCGGAGACAUUGGCAGGUGGGGAGAUUGACUAGGGCAGUACACCUGCAAAACAGCAAUGCAGAUGUCCUAAGGCAAGCUCUGGGAGGACAGAAACCUCCCACGGAGCUGAAGGCCAGAAGCUUGAUGGAUCUCUAUUGUCAGUAGGAAUAGCAACCGUGAAAGUGGGGCCUCACGAUCCUUCUGACUGGGGUUUUAAACAGCGGUCUCAGCAUAUUACCAAAGGAAUAACUGCCUUGUGGUAGCCUAGCAUUCAAAGCGACAUAGCAUUUUUUUUACUUAUAUCUUGGCUCUUCCUAUCAUUGUGAAGCAGAAUUCACCAAACGUUGGAUUGUUCACCCACUAAUGUGGAAAGUUAAACUGAGCUGGGUUUAGACCGUCAUGUGACCAGUUAGUUUUACUGUACUGAUGAUGAGUUGCUGCAAUAAUAAUCAUGUUCUGUAUGAGAGAAACCACAUGUUCAGACAGUUGGUGUGUGUUCUUGGCUGAGGAGCCAAUAUUGUGAAGCUGCCAUCUGUGGGCUUAUGACUGAAUGCCUUUAAGACAGAAUCCCCCCUAAACUGUAAUGGUACCGCAGCGAUGUGGAGUAUCAGUUGGACUCAGAUAGCCAGCCUCUGGGGCAGUGUAUUGAGCUGCUUGCCUCAGGACUUGAGUGUGGACAGAAGAGGGUAAACUCUCUUGACCAUAGUGCACAACAUGUUAGUG